rnacentral:tRNA from 1 species
CGGAUGUACCCAAGGGGAUCAAGGCAGUGGAUUUGU